AGGAAUAUUGGUCAAUGGGCGAGAGCCUGAACCAGCCAAGUAGCGUGAAGGAUGACUGCCCUAUGGGUUGUAAACUUCUUUUAUAAAGGAAUAAAGUCGGGUAUGGAUACCCGUUUGCAUGUACUUUAUGAAUAAGGAUCGGCUAACUCCGUGCCAGCAGCCGCGGUAAUACGGAGGAUCCGAGCGUUAUCCGGAUUUAUUGGGUUUAAAGGGAGCGUAGAUGGAUGUUUAAGUCAGUUGUGAAAGUUUGCGGCUCAACCGUAAAAUUGCAGUUGAUACUGGAUAUCUUGAGUGCAGUUGAGGCAGGCGGAAUUCGUGGUGUAGCGGUGAAAUGCUUAGAUAUCACGAAGAACUCCGAUUGCGAAGGCAGCCUGCUAAGCUGCAACUGACAUUGAGGCUCGAAAGUGUGGGUAUCAAACAGGAUUAGAUACCCUGGUAGUCCACACGGUAAACGAUGAAUACUCGCUGUUUGCGAUAUACUGCAAGCGGCCAAGCGAAAGCGUUAAGUAUUCCACCUGGGGAGUACGCCGGCAACGGUGAAACUCAAAGGAAUUGACGGGGGCCCGCACAAGCGGAGGAACAUGUGGUUUAAUUCGAUGAUACGCGAGGAACCUUACCCGGGCUUAAAUUGCAACCGAAUAUGGCGGAAACGCUAUAGCUAGCAAUAGCGGUUGUGAAGGUGCUGCAUGGUUGUCGUCAGCUCGUGCCGUGAGGUGUCGGCUUAAGUGCCAUAACGAGCGCAACCCUUGCCGAUAGUUACUAACAGGUUAUGCUGAGGACUCUGUCGGGACUGCCAUCGUAAGAUGUGAGGAAGGUGGGGAUGACGUCAAAUCAGCACGGCCCUUACGUCCGGGGCUACACACGUGUUACAAUGGGGGGUACAGAGGGCUGCUACCACGCAAGUGGAUGCCAAUCCCAAAAACCUCUCUCAGUUCGGAUUGAAGUCUGCAACCCGACUUCAUGAAGCUGGAUUCGCUAGUAAUCGCGCAUCAGCCACGGCGCGGUGAAUACGUUCCCG
rnacentral:rRNA from 1 species